rnacentral:ncRNA from 1 species
UUCUUUGAGAUUAUACAUUUUAAGGAAUGUAUACAGUAAAGGUAUUAGUAGUUAAAGGGAUUUAUUCCUUCCUAAUAUAGGUAAAAAAGUAUCAGUAAAAUGUGUAUUAGUAGAAAUUCAAAUAUAUGCA